rnacentral:rRNA from 1 species
GUGUCAGCAGCCGCGGUAAAACGUAGGACGCAAGCGUUAUCCGGAGUUACUGGGCGUAAAGCGCGGGCAGGCGGCUCGGUCAGUCUGAUGUGAAAGCGCCCGGCUCAACCGGGCGAGGCCAUUGGACACUGCCGAGCUGGAGGGCAGUAGAGGCAGGCGGAAUUCCGGGUGGAGUGGUGAAAUGCGUAGAGAUCCGGAGGAACACCAGAGGCGAAGGCGGCCUGCUGGGCUGCACCUGACGCUGAGCCGCGAAAGCCAGGGGAGCGAACGGGAUUAGAAACCCUGGUAGUCC